AUUUCGGUAGUCUAAUGGUCAAGACUCUUGCAUGGCAUACAAGAGAUUCGAGUUCGAUCCCUAACCAAAGUA
rnacentral:tRNA from 1 species